rnacentral:rRNA from 1 species
GCCGUAGUUGCAGUUAAAAAGCUCGUAGUUGAAAUGAAGGGUAGUUGUGUAAUGAACACAUUCGUGUAUUUUGUUAUUCAAGUACCCCCCYUCUAAAUUCGAUAUAUGAGUAUUAAUUUACUUGUAUAUGGUUUUAGACAUUUACUGUGAGAAAAUUAGAGUGUUCAAAGCAGGCAUUUGCUUGAAUAUAUUAGCAUGGAAUAAUCAUGUAUGAUUUUCAUGAUGUAUUUGAUUGGUUUGGUUGAUGAGAAUAAGAUUAAAAGGGACAGUUGGGGGUAUUCAUAUUCAAUAGUCAGAGGUGAAAUUCUCGGAUUUAUGGAAGAUG